UGCUUCAGUUGGUGGGUGUCGGUUGUCAGUUUUAUUUUAAAUUCAUUAAUCACAAAGUAAUAUAAUUAUAGUUAGGUACAUAUUUCUUGAUUGAAUAAUUAUUCUGAUAAUGUAUGGGGGCUAUAUGGGUGCUGUUUACGAUUUAUCGAUUUUGAAAAGGAAUUUCUACACGUUUCUUUUGCAUCCUAGUUGCAGAAGAAAAGCUUCUUCAGAUGAAUGUCCGAAGGGAUAACUGAUACGCUUAGACUAUCUUGUUCCUAGAAAGUGACCCCGACUUCGCCAUCCUGUGAUGAAUCAAAGUGAAGGCAGCGUGAAAGCAGCGUACAAAGCAGAUGAUCCUGCUCUAUGAUGAAGACAGUUGAAACUCUACCAAAGCCAUCUCCAGCGCUUGAGUCAACCUGGGAGAGUGAUAAGAAAAAAAACGAAGUUUAUGCAAUAGCAUUUUGGUUGAAUGAUCUUUUUUUAGUUGAUAUUAUGUGAUUUACAUGUAUUUUCAGCCAUGUUACAUAAAAACUGUAAUCAUAAAAACGGCAGAAACCUUUCAGGGUUGAUAUUAGCUUCUAUUGUUUUCAUUCACAUAAUUAUUAUUGAUAUUUCAUGUUCACAUUUUUAUGAAGGUAAUAUAGCCGGGAAGUGUUUUGACUUUUA